AGCAAGUUCCAGGUCACUGGGAGAGGCCCACGGAUCCUAUAGCAGCAUGAGCCUCUGGGGUAACUGCAGCACCCCUGGAACCCAGAGGCCCCUGUCACUGGACCUCACACCCAGGGUCUUGGGAGGCAGGCGGACUCACAUGUGGCUGGGAUGCCUGGACUGAGAUGCGGGGCUGUGGGCAUCUCUCCCAGCCUGGGCCGGGCUGGAGAAGCCACAGCCCUUCCUGCCCCACCGCUCCUGUCCCUGGAGAGCAGCCUGGCCUUGGAACGCACUGUCCCGGAGCACGGCUGUCAGGAUGAUAGAGAGAGUUCUGGAGGCUGGGAAGUCCAAGAUCAAGGCAAUAGCACAUUUGGUCUCUGUAAGGGCUCACUUUCUGUUUCCAAGGCUUGACAACAGAUUGGACACAACCACAAGAAAGGGUCGGAAACUCAAAGGCAGGUCAAAGUAAGUUCUCCAAGUUGAAGCACAGAAAGAAACAAACAAUGACAGACUGGAGGAAGGGUCAGCAAACUGUGGGCCCAUGGACCAGCUAUAACCUGCUGCCUGUUAUUGUAAACAAAGUUUUAUGGGAACCCA